rnacentral:rRNA from 1 species
UACGGAGGGUGCAAGCGUUAUCCGGAUUCACUGGGUUUAAAGGGUGCGUAGGUGGGUAGGUAAGUCAGUGGUGAAAUCUCCAAGCUUAACUUGGAAACUGCCGUUGAUACUAUUUAUCUUGAAUAUAGUGGAGGUGAGCGGAAUAUGUCAUGUAGAGGUGAAAUUCUUAGAGAUGACAUAGAACACCGAUUGCGAAGGCAGCUCACUAAAUUGUAACUGACGCUGAGGCACGAAAGCGUGGGGAUCAAACAGG